rnacentral:rRNA from 1 species
UACGGGGGGGGGCAAGCGUUGUUCGGAAUUACUGGGCGUAAAGGGCUCGUAGGCGGCCAACUAAGUCAGACGUGAAAUCCCUCGGCUUAACCGGGGAACUGCGUCUGAUACUGAAUGGCUUGAGUUUGGGAGAGGGAUGCGGAAUUCCAGGUGUAGCGGUGAAAUGCGUAGAUAUCUGGAGGAACACCGGUGGCGAAGGCGGCAUCCUGGACCGACACUGACGCUGAGGAGCGAAAGCAUGGGGAGCGAACAGG